UCCAACAACGGUGCCUUGCUGGCUCUGGCGGCUGUGUGCGGGACUGCAGGGCCGCGGGUGUGGGCCGCCCGUCACCCCUGGGUUCGCUCUGCGGUGAACACUCAGGGCAGCGCGACUGUCUCUUGUUCUCUUGUGUGUUCAAAUGCGAUGUUCGUGCGGGUCGUGGUGGUACGCCCUGUAAUCAUGGCACUCUGGGAGGCUGAAGCAGGAAGAUCACAGGCAUCAGCAGGAGUGAGAGGGCCAGAGAAAAGCAGCGUUGAGGGCCAUCUGUGAUCUGCCAGGACCCUGAUGUAGGAACCCCUGCCAGGAUGUGCCCCCUUAACCCCAGAAGGCUUUGCAGAUAGAGUCCAUCUGCUUCUCAGUCAUCAAUCUAACCAGCUCGCCACAAGAAUGGCCAUUGUCCCUGCCUAGGGGACCCUUCAAGUUCAACAGGCUGUGGUUCCUCCUGUCCUGUCCUUGAAAUGUACACAAGAAUACUACAGAGAUGACAGUUGGCCUUGCCAGGCAGAUCCAUGCCACUUUGUAGACCAGAAGUAACUUUAUAAAAAUACAGGUUCUUAGGCACCAUCCCAGUCAGCUAAGUCUGAAGCUGUAUUUUAACAAGAUACAUAUUAACAUCCCAUUGUGAAGAGUUCUGACCUAGAUGCACCACCUUCCUUUUUGUGUGUGUAGUGAGAAGUAGUAGGAUCCAAACCCAGAGCCUCACACAUGCUAACCACAUGCUCUACCACCAAGCUGCAUGCCCAGCCCCACAUGGAGUCUUCCUCCCUCCCCAGUGUGUCUGUCUGGAAACCAGAACCACAUUCCUGCUACUCAGAAGGAAAAAAUCAAGGAUAUUUCUCUAGAUUGGAGAAGGGAAACACCCCUCGUUCCCUGCUCCUCCAAGACAGCUUGCUUAUUCCAGCAAAUUGCAUUGUCCUUUACCAAAUCCAGGACCCCUUUGGGUCAAUGAUGCUCAAACUUGGUUGCCUGUUAGAAUCACCAAAGAAGAAACCCAGACCAAUUAGAGUAGCUGGGGGAGUGAUACAGGUGACAGUAUUUUUAAAAACUCCCCUGGUGCUUUUCAUGAAUAGCCAAGGUUGAGAACCACUGCUGUAGGUUCUCCCAGAAGGCUUAGAAUUUUCAGAAGUGAAGCCUAGAAAGAACUCGAGGCUCCUACUGCCUAAAGGGAGAAAGAGCUCUCCCCCUUUUUACCCUCUCGCCUUCCGCCAUGGAAGACCCAGCAAGAAGGCCCACACCAAAUGUCAGCAUCUUGAUAUUGGACUUCCAGGCUCCAGAAAUGUGAGAAGUCAAAGUUUGGUCACCAGGUGAGGUCGCCCAGCACAUGACCUGCCUACCUUGGCGAUCAGGUCUCUGGCCUUCUCCUCGUGUCCCCUGCUACUGCUUCCUACAAACCCCUUCUCUAUCUCCCUGAGUCCCUUGGGGAGAAAGGGUGCUGCUGAUACAAGGUGUUCUCUCAAACUUCAUGGUAACUGAGCUGCUCACAGCGCAGAUGUUUUAUGAAGAUAUUGAGGUCAGCAUACACUUAUGCAAAUGUAAUCUCUCCCUUUCUGAACUCUCAUUGCCUGCAUUAGUCACUAAAUAACCACUGCUGUCUUA